rnacentral:rRNA from 1 species
AUGAACGCUGGCGGCGUGCCUAAUACAUGCAAGUCGAGCGAACAGACGAGGAGCUUGCUCCUCUGACGUUAGCGGCGGACGGGUGAGUAACACGUGGAUAACCUACCUAUAAGACUGGGAUAACUUCGGGAAACCGGAGCUAAUACCGGAUAAUAUAUUGAACCGCAUGGGUCAAUAGUGAAAGACGGUUUUGCUGUCACUUAUAGAUGGAUCCGCGCCGCAUUAGCUAGUUGGUAAGGUAACGGCUUACCAAGGCAACGAUGCGUAGCCGACCUGAGAGGGUGAUCGGCCACACUGGAACUGAGACACGGUCCAGACUCCUACGGGAGGCAGCAGUAGGGAAUCUUCCGCAAUGGGCAAAAGCUUGACGGAGCAACGCCGCGUGAGUGAUGAAGGUCUUCGGAUCGUAAAACUCUGUUAUUAGGGAAGAACAAAUGUGUAAGUAACUAUGCACGUCUUGACGGUACCUAAUCAGAAAGCCACGGCUAACUACGUG